rnacentral:lncRNA from 1 species
CUCACUUGCCAAACAGACUUGUUUAUUAGACGGUCUCACUUCGAUCCCCCCUUCUCUUUACGGUUAGGAGACCGAGUACAGUGCUCUAGACACAGUGAGGGCUCAAUAAACACCACGGAUUGAUUGAGGGAGUUUUAAAGGCAAGGAACAGGGAUUAAAGGGAUAUUCUUUUAGGAGCCUGGAGGAAAUUCACGCGGUUCUCGUUCUCUCCUGCCAGCCGUCCAUUUCGGAAGGAUUUUUCUCCCCAGAAUGGCCAGCCACUUCUCAAGCAUCGUUCUUGCCGUCCCCGCCACAUUUUGUAGGAGCAGGAAUUGGGCACUUGUUGAGCAAGUGAACGUUGGAUCCAGACAGUGAGAAUCCAGACUUUCCCUGGCCGUGCUCAUGGGUCACCCCAGUAUAUACCUUCUGCUCCUGACAGCCUGUCACCUGUGGAUACACUCCAUCUUUCUGCUUCCAGGGAGUUGAAACAAUGCCAUGGGCUGGAUAAGUGCAGCUUACUCAGUAUUGUUCCCCGUUCGGCUACUGCACCAGCUGACGGAAACGGCUUGCUGUUGUCUGGAAUGAAGAAGGAGGAUUGGAAGUAUCGAGCCUGUUUCUUUCCAUAAGAAUCACAGAUCAUCUGGUCAG